CCUACGGGUGGCAGCAGUGGGGAAUAUUGGACAAUGGGCGAAAGCCUGAUCCAGCCAUGCCGCGUGUGUGAAGAAGGCCUUCGGGUUGUAAAGCACUUUCAGUGGGGAAGAAAGCCUUGGGGCUAAUACCCUCGAGGAAGGACAUCACCCACAGAAGAAGCACCGGCUAACUCCGUGCCAGCAGCCGCGGUAAUACGGAGGGUGCGAGCGUUAAUCGGAAUUACUGGGCGUAAAGCGCGCGUAGGCGGUCUGAUAAGCCGGUUGUGAAAGCCCCGGGCUCAACCUGGGAACGGCAUCCGGAACUGUCAGGCUAGAGUGCAGGAGAGGAAGGUAGAAUUCCCGGUGUAGCGGUGAAAUGCGUAGAGAUCGGGAGGAAUACCAGUGGCGAAGGCGGCCUUCUGGAUUGACACUGACGCUGAGGUGCGAAAGCGUGGGUAGCAAACAGGAUUAGAUACCCCUGUAGUC
rnacentral:rRNA from 1 species